AGAACGAACGCUGGCGGCAUGCCUAACACAUGCAAGUCGAACGAACCCUUCGGGGUUAGUGGCGCACGGGUGCGUAACGCGUGGGAACCUACCAUCAGGUUCGGAAUAACAGUUAGAAAUGACUGCUAAUACCGGAUAAUGUCUUCGGACCAAAGAUUUAUCGCCUUUUGAUGGGCCCGCGUUGGAUUAGCUAGUUGGUAAGGUAAAAGCUUACCAAGGCGACGAUCCAUAGCUGGUCUGAGAGGAUGAUCAGCCACACUGGGACUGAGACACGGCCCAGACUCCUACGGGAGGCAGCAGUGGGAAUAUUGGACAAUGGGCGAAAGCCUGAUCCAGCAAUGCCGCGUGAGUGAUGGAAGGCCGUUAGGGUUGUUAAAGCUUCGUUUUACGUGGGGAUGAUAAUGACAGUACCCAGAAGAAUAAGCUACCGGCUAACUCCGUACGACCAGCACGCCGAC
rnacentral:rRNA from 1 species